AAUGCGUCGGAACGUACCGAGUAAUGGGGGAUAACGCAGCGAAAGCUGUGCUAAUACCGCAUACGCCCUGAGGGGGAAAGUGGGGGAUCGCAAGACCUCACGUUAUUCGAGCGGCCGACGUCUGAUUAGCUAGUUGGUGGGGUAAAGGCUCACCAAGGCGACGAUCAGUAGCGGGUCUGAGAGGAUGAUCCGUCACACUGGAACUGAGACACGGUCCAGACUCCUACGGGAGGCAGCAGUGGGGAAUUUUGGACAAUGGGGGCAACCCUGAUCCAGCCAUUCCGCGUGAGUGAAGAAGGCCUUCGGGUUGUAAAGCUCUUUCAGCCGGAACGAAACGGUACGCACUAAUAUUGUGUGCUAAUGACGGUACCGGCAGAAGAAGCACCGGCUAACUACGUGCCAGCAGCCGCGGUAAUACGUAGGGUGCGAGCGUUAAUCGGAAUUACUGGGCGUAAAGCGUGCGCAGGCGGAUUGUUAAGCAAGAUGUGAAAUCCCCGGGCUUAACCUGGGAAUGGCAUUUUGAACUGGCAGUCUAGAGUGUGUCAGAGGGGGGUGGAAUUCCACGUGUAGCAGUGAAAUGCGUAGAUAUGUGGAGGAACACCAAUGGCGAAGGCAGCCCCCUGGGAUAACACUGACGCUCAUGUACGAAAGCGUGGGUAGCAAACAGGAUUAGAUACCCUGGUAGUCCACGCCCUAAACGAUGUCAACUGGUUGUUGGGGGAGUGAAAUCCCUUAGUAACGAAGCUAACGCGUGAAGUUGACCGCCUGGGGAGUACGGUCGCAAGAUUAAAACUCAAA
rnacentral:rRNA from 1 species